UAUCAGGGCAAAUCUGUUGAAAGAUAGAGACGCAAAGCUAAAGGGCCUAAACAAACAUAAAUUGUAGGGUAGCCAGCUGCA
rnacentral:ncRNA from 1 species